UUCGGGCAAGAGGCGGGGUACACCCUGAACUGGUCGCCAGCCAAUUGCAGGGCACAUAUAAACAAACAACCAUUCGCACUCACAUUCACACCUACGGGCAAUUUAGAGUCUUCAAUCAACCUACCGCGCAUGUUUUUGGGAAGUGGGAGGAAACUGGAGUACCCGGAGAAAACCUACGCAGGCAAGGGUAGAAUAUGCAAACUCCACACAGGCGGGGCCGGAUUUGAACCCCGGUCCUCAAGAUUGCCCUGAAAACAGGCUUUAUGUGGUCCCGACCUUAAGGGGAAGAGUUAUCCACUGGGCUCACACUAACAGGACUGUAUGUCACCCAGGCAUUGCCAAAACUCAAUCUGUGGUCGAACAGGGCUUUUGGUGGCCUAAUGUUAGACGAGAUGUUAUCCAUUACGUCAAUGCUUGCCAGGUAUGUGCUGCUAAUAAGACCUCUCGUCAACGUCCUUCUUGGGAAUUGCAACCCCUGUCAAUACCACAACGUCCUUGGUCAGACAUUUCCGUAGACUUUGUGACAGGAUUACCGGCCUCUAAAGGAAAUACCAGCAUUCUCCCAGUUGUUGACAGGUUCUCUAAGAUGGCACACUUCAUUGCACUGCCGAAACUCCCCUCAGCUAAGGAAACUUCCGAGUUGAUGCUAAACCAGGUAUUCAAGUUUCAUGGUUUUCCAAAGAUUGUGGUAUCGGAUAGGGGCCCCCAAUUUGUUUCACGAUUUUGGAAGGAGUUUUGCAAAUUAACAGGUGCUACCGUCUGUCUGUCUUCUGGGUUUCAUCCUGAAACCAACGGACAAACUGAGAGGCUGAACCAGGACCUGGAGACUGGGCUCCGAUGUCUCGCGUCACUGGAGCAACAAUCCUGGAUUCAGAAGCUGAAUCCACGGUUCCAUCUGCAUUGACCUUGGUGAGACGCUGAAGGAGGACCUGGGAGCGAGCCCGCCAAGGACGGUCCUACAAGACCGCAGCUGACCGUAGGAGGACACCGGCCCCGAACUACGUAGUGGGUCAGCGAGUUUGGCUCUCUACCAAGCAUGUUCCACUCCGGGUGGAGUCCUGGAAGCUCGCUCCCAGGUUCGGUGGGCCCUUCCCCAUCACGAAGGCCAUCAACCCUGUUACCAUGAAGCUUAGCCUCCCAAGGUCGAUGGGGUCCACCCUGCAUUUCACGUUAGCCUGUUCAAGCCCGGCCGGGAGUCCCCUCUGGUCCCGCCUUCCAGCCCCCCUCCGCCCCCCCGUUUUGUGGACGGGGCCCUGUCUUCACGGCGAGGCGGCUGUUGUCGUCUCGUCGGAGGGGGUUUCAAUAUCUGGUGGACUUGGAGGGCUACGGGCCUGAGGAACGUUCGUGUGUGCUGUCUGGGUUUCUCGUUGAUGACUCACUCAUUCGGGACUUCCAGUUGUGCAUCCUGGGGCUCCGGGGCCGUCUGGGGCCGGCCAUUAAGGGUGGGGGGGGAGUACUGUCAUGGGUGUGUGUUCCGUUCAUGACACAAUAAACAUUGACUGUGAUUAUUAUCAUCGGGUAUCUUGCUUAACUAAAUUAGAGAUUGGAAUAUAUGUAUUUUAUAUAAAACUCUUGCAGCCUUACUAUCGAAGACUAAAUAAAGAGGUACUUUUCACAA